rnacentral:misc_RNA from 1 species
UCUCCGUUGGUGAACCAGCGGAGGGAUCAUUACCGAGUUUUUCUACUCCAAACCCCUGUGAACUUAUACCUCUACUGUUGCUUCGGUGGGUUAACGCCCCGGAAGGCCCAAAAAGCCGCCGGAACCAGGCGCCCGCCGGGGGACCCAAACUCUUGUAUUUCUUACUUUGCAUGUCUGAGUGGAAUCAUAAACAAAUGAAUCAAAACUUUCAACAACGGAUCUCUUGGUUCUG